rnacentral:rRNA from 1 species
GUAAGGAAUAUUGGACAAUGGACGCAAGUCUGAUCCAGCCAUGCCGCGUGAAGGAUUAAGGUCCUCUGGAUUGUAAACUUCUUUUAUAAGGGACGAAAAAAGGCUUUUCUAAGUCGUCUGACGGUACCUUAUGAAUAAGCACCGGCUAACUCCGUGCCAGCAGCCGCGGUAAUACGGAGGGUGCAAGCGUUAUCCGGAUUCACUGGGUUUAAAGGGUGCGUAGGCGGGCAGGUAAGUCAGUGGUGAAAUCCUAGAGCUUAACUCUAGAACUGCCAUUGAUACUAUCUGUCUUGAAUAUUGUGGAGGUAAGCGGAAUAUGUCAUGUAGCGGUGAAAUGCUUAGAUAUGACAUAGAACACCUAUUGCGAAGGCAGCUUACUACGCAUAUAUUGACGCUGAGGCACGAAAGCGAGGGGAGCAAAUGGGAUUAGAAACCCUGGUAGUCC